rnacentral:rRNA from 1 species
UACGGAGGAUCCAAGCGUUAUCCGGAUUUAUUGGGUUUAAAGGGUGCGUAGGUGGUUCUUUAAGUCAGGGGUGAAAGACGGCAGCUUAACUGUCGCAGUGCCUUUGAUACUGAAGAACUUGAAUACACUAGAGGUAGGCGGAAUGUGACAAGUAGCGGUGAAAUGCAUAGAUAUGACCCGGAACACCGAUUGCGAAGGCAGCCCGCUAAGCAAGCAUUGACGCUGAGGCACGAAAGCGUGGGGAUCAAACAGG